CUACGGGGGGCUGCAGUGGGGAAUAUUGGACAAUGGGGGAAACCCUGAUCCAGCAAUGCCGCGUGUGUGAAGAAGGCCUGCGGGUUGUAAAGCACUUUCGGUUGGGAGGACUGCUUCUAGCACUAAUAUUGUUGGAAGUUGACGUUACCUUCAGAAGAAGCACCGGCUAACUCCGUGCCAGCAGCCGCGGUAAUACGGAGGGUGCAAGCGUUAAUCGGAAUUACUGGGCGUAAAGCGCGCGUAGGCGGCUAGAUCAGUCGGGUGUGAAAGCCCCGGGCUUAACCUGGGAACUGCAUCCGAUAAUGUCUAGCUUGAGUACAGGAGAGGAGAGUGGAAUUCCACAUGUAGCGGUGAAAUGCGUAGAUAUGUGGAGGAACACCAAUGGCGAAGGCAGCUCUCUGGCCUGAUACUGACGCUGAGGUGCGAAAGCGUGGGGAGCAAACUGGAUUAGAUACCCUGGUAGUC
rnacentral:rRNA from 1 species